GCUGGCUUGUUAGUGCACAUGCGGGUGAUAUUUAAUGUCCUCACACCCAUCACAAUUAUUAGCAGCCACACAUCCCUGUGGAGGAAGACGUGCAUAAAGGGGGGAGCAGAUGAGAUGCAGUGAUCAGACUGUCUGCGAGGACGUUGGGAAAGCCGGAAGCCACAGCCUGGACCAAAGGUCACACUUGACAACACAGACACACUGAAAUCUCCUAAAACACGCUGAAAGGAAUUGAAUUAUUUAGCAGCGAAGGAGGAUGUUGCUGUGAGGGUAAACUUAGCAAUUUGCUGACUGAAAAGCUGUGGGAAUGGAUGUGGAUUUUGAAGAGAAUGGGACAAUAUGGAAUAACUUUUGUGGGGCAUAAAAAUUUUCUAGGGACACCAUGAUCAACGAGCCAACGCUGUAGGUUUCUACAAGACAGACUUCUCUGAUUACUCCUGGACUCUGAGGUCCAUCAUGUUAACCACAGCCACAUUGUCUUGGGUGAUGAUAUGCCACCUCUUGGUGUCUGCCACCUGAAGGUCCAAUUAUUCCUGUUGUGUUUAUGAAUCCUAAGGAAUAGCAGUUCUGAUUGCAAUUUCUGAGAGGAGCAACCACAGAGCUCUUCAAGGAUGCUGAUGCUCCCAUCACUUCUUUAUUCCUCACAGACCUGGAGGAAAAAAGAUGUCUUCUGGACCUUUCCACGGUGUGUGACUAGGUAUCACAUGAUAAAUCCAUGCUAACAUUCCAGUUUCACAUGCCAUUCGAUAUGCUCCUCCACAGUGUGCCAUGACGGUCCCCACACUCAGUGUCAUGCAGUGUCAGCCACCUCUUCAUCCAUGUUUCAGCCAACCAAACAAACUAACAGAGCCAUUUCUAACCCCUCAAGGCACAACAUUAAAUUCAGAUUUGCUGUUUA